GUCAGGAUGGCCGAGCAGUCUAAGGCGCAGCGUUCAGGUCGCAGUCUCCCCUGGAGGCGUGGGUUUGAAUCCCACUUCUGACA
rnacentral:tRNA from 2 species